rnacentral:rRNA from 1 species
CUCAAUGAUAAUUUAAUAGCCGCAAUUUUGUGCUAAGGUAGCAUAAUCAUUUGUUUUUUAAUUAAAAACUAGAACAAAAGAUUUAACAUUUCAAUUUCUUUCUCAUAUACAUAAAUUAAAUUUAUUUUAAAUAUAAAAAAAUAUUUUUUCUUUAAAAAGACGAUAAGACCCUAUUGAACUUAACUAAAGUUAAACUGGGGUAGUUAAUUAAAUACAAUUUUAAUUUAAAUUUUAAAAAAACCUAAUAUAAUUAAAUAAAAAGUUACCAUAGGGAUAACAGCGUAAUAAAUUUUUCAAGAUCUUAUUUAAAAAUUUGUUUACGACCUCGAUGUUGAAUUAAUAAUCCAUUAAAUGCAACAAUUUAAUAAGAAAGUC